ACAGCAGUCGCCGCGGUAAUACGUAGGGUGCAAGCGUUAAUCGGAAUUACUGGGCGUAAAGGGCUCGCAGGCGGUUUCUUAAGUCUGAUGUGAAAGCCCCGGCUCAACCGGGGAGGGUCAUUGGAAACUGGGAAACUUGAGUGCGGAAGAGGAGAGUGGAAUUCCACGUGUAGCGGUGAAAUGCGUAGAGAUGUGGAGGAACACCAGUGGCGAAGGCGACUCUCUGGUCUGUAACUGACGCUGAGGAGCGAAAGCGUGGGGAGCGAACAGGAUUAGAUACCCCAGUAGUCCCUGUCUCUUAUACA
rnacentral:rRNA from 1 species